rnacentral:rRNA from 1 species
GUCGAACGCUGGCGGCGUGCCUAAUACAUGCAAGUCGAACGCAGUGGGGACGGGUGAGUAACACGUGGGUAACCUCCCAUCAGAGGGGAUAACACUUGGAAACAGGUGCUAAACCGCUACUGAUUGAUGGACCCGCGGUGCAUUAGGUAGUGGGUGGGGUAACGGCUCACCAAGGCCACGAUGCAUAGCGGACCUGAGAGGGUGAUCGGCCAAACUGGGACUGAGACACGGCCCAGACUCCUACGGGAGGCAGCAGUAGGGAAUAUUCGGCAAUGGACGAAAGCCUGACCGAGCAACGCCGCGUGAAUGAAGAAGGUUUUCGGAUCGUAAAACACUGUUGUUAGAGAGGCGGUAUCUAACCAGAAAGCCACGGCUAACUACGUGCCAGCCGCCGCGGUAAUAC